rnacentral:rRNA from 1 species
GACGUAGGGUGCGAGCGUUAAUCGGAAUUACUGGGCGUAAAGAGUGCGUAGGCGGUUUUGUAAGACAGGUGUGAAAUCCCCGGGCUCAACCUGGGAACUGCACUUGUGACUGCAAGGCUAGAGUGUGUCAGAGGGAGGUGGAAUUCCGCGUGUAGCAGUGAAAUGCGUAGAGAUGCGGAGGAACACCGAUGGCGAAGGCAGCCUCCUGGGAUAACACUGACGCUCAGGCACGAAAGCGUGGGGAGCAAACAGGAUUAGAUACCCUGGUAGUCCACGCCCUAAACGAUGUCAACUAGUUGUCGGGGAUUCAUUUCCUUGGUAACGCAGCUAACGCGUGAAGUUGACCGCCUGGGGAGUACGGCCGCAAGGUUAAA